AUGAUACGCGAGGAACCUUACCAAGGCUUAAAUGGGAAAUGACAGGUUUAGAAAUAGACUUUUCUUCGGACAUUUUUCAAGGUGCUGCAUGGUUGUCGUCAGCUCGUGCCGUGAGGUGUUAGGUUAAGUCCUGCAACGAGCGCAACCCCUGUCACUAGUUGCCAUCAUUAAGUUGGGGACUCUAGUGAGACUGCCUACGCAAGUAGAGAGGAAGGUGGGGAUGACGUCAAAUCAUCACGGCCCUUACGCCUUGGGCCACACACGUAAUACAAUGGCCGGUACAGAGGGCAGCUACACUGCGAAGUGAUGCAAAUCUCGAAAGCCGGUCUCAGUUCGGAUUGGAGUCUGCAACUCGACUCUAUGAAGCUGGAAUCGCUAGUAAUCGCGCAUCAGCCAUGGCGCGGUGAAUACGUUCCCGGGCCUUGUACACACCGCCCGUCAAGCCAUGGAAGUCUGGGGUACCUGAAGUCGGUGACCGUAACAGGAGCUGCCUAGGGUAAAACAGGUAACUAGGGCUAAGUCGUAACAA
rnacentral:rRNA from 1 species